rnacentral:rRNA from 1 species
UACGAAGGGGGCUAGCGUUGCUCGGAAUCACUGGGCGUAAAGCGCACGUAGGCGGCUUUCUAAGUCAGGGGUGAAAUCCUGGAGCUCAACUCCAGAACUGCCUUUGAUACUGAAGAUCUUGAGUCCGGGAGAGGUGAGUGGAACUGCGAGUGUAGAGGUGAAAUUCGUAGAUAUUCGCAAGAACACCAGUGGCGAAGGCGGCUCACUGGCCCGGUACUGACGCUGAGGCACGAAAGCGUGGGGAGCAAACAGGG